AUUUAAAAUCUGGUAGUCUUUGAUUGCCCGAGUUGUAAUCUAGAGAAGCGUUUUCCGCGCUGGACCGUGUAUAAGUCUCCUGGAAUGGAGCGUCAUAGAGGGUGAGAAUCCCGUCUUUGACACGGACUACCAGGGCUCUGUGAUGCGCUCUCGAAGAGUCGAGUUGUUUGGGAAUGCAGCUCUAAAUGGGUGGUAAGUUCCAUCUAAAGCUAAAUAUUGGCGAGAGACCGAUAGCGAACAAGUACCGUGAGGGAAAGAUGAAAAGAACUUUGGAAAGAGAGUUAAACAGUACGUGAAAUUGUUGAAAGGGAAACGCUUAAAGUCAGUCGCAUUGGCUGGGGAUCAACCUUGCUUCUGCUUGGUGCACUUCCUAGUUAAUGGGUCAGCAUCAAUUUUGACCAGUGGAAAAAGUGCAAAGGAAUGUGGCAUCUUCGGAUGUGUUAUAGACUUUGUUCGUAUACAUUGGUUGGGAUUGAGGAACUCAGCACGCCGCAAGGCCGGGUUUUAACCACGUUCGUGCUUAGGAUGCUGGCAUAAUGGCUUUAAUCGACCCGUCUUGAAACACGGACCAAGGAGUCUAACAUACCUGCGAGUGUUUGGGUGGUAAACUCGAGCGCGUAAUGAAAGUGAAAGUUGGGAUCUCUGUCGUGGGGAGCACCGACGCCCGGACCAGACCUUCUGUGACGGAUCCGCGGUAGAGCAUGUAUGUUGGGACCCGAAAGAUGGUGAACUAUGCCUGAAUAGGGUGAAGCCAGAGGAAACUCUGGUGGAGGCUCGUAGCGAUUCUGACGUGCAAAUCGAUCGUCGAA
rnacentral:rRNA from 1 species